GACGAACGCUGGCGGCGUGCUUAACACAUGCAAGUCGAACGGAAAGGCCCUGCUCUUGUGGGGUGCUCGAGUGGCGAACGGGUGAGUAACACGUGAGUAACCUGCCCUUGACUUUGGGAUAACUUCAGGAAACUGGGGCUAAUACCGGAUAUGAGCUCCUGCUGCAUGGUGGGGGUUGGAAAGUUUCGGCGGUUGGGGAUGGACUCGGGGCUUACCAGCUUGUUGGUGGGGUAGUAGCUUACCAAGGGUUUGACGGGUAGCCGUCCUGAGAGCGUGACCAGCGCCAUUGGUCCUGCGGUGCGUCCCAGACUUCGACGGAAGGCAACAGUGGCCACAUCUACAGACUGGGCGGGAGCGUGAGGUGCCAAUGCCGAGUGCGGGAUGAAGGCCUUCGGGGUUUACACCACUUUGGCCUGUGACGAAGCGUGAUUGACGUUAAUGGGUAAAGAAGCACCGGCUAACUACGUG
rnacentral:rRNA from 1 species